rnacentral:rRNA from 1 species
UACGGGGGGGGCAAGCGUUGUUCGGAAUUACUGGGCGUAAAGGGCUCGUAGGCGGCCAACUAAGUCGGACGUGAAAUCCCCAGGCUCAACCUGGGAACUGCGUCCGAUACUGGAUGGCUUGAAUCCGGGAGAGGGAUGCAGAAUUCCAGGUGUAGCGGUGAAAUGCGUAGAUAUCGAGAGGAACACCUGCGGCGAAGGCGGGUUGCUGGGCUGAUACUGACGCUGAGGCGCGAAAGCUAGGGGAGCGAACGGG